rnacentral:lncRNA from 1 species
GAUCUGAUCUAUAUAUUGAUUUUUUUCCUUUAAUAUAAUUUUUUUUUGUUUUCUUAUAUGUGAUUACCUGGUUGGUCUUUCAAGGAAAUGAAUUGAAACCGGAUGAUGAAAUAGCUGAGGAUUUACUUGAAAUAAAAGAUGAUAUGUUUAUACUGAUAUCUUCCAUUUUUUGAGACCAGUUGGAACAUCUUGAAAUACAAAUUACACAUACAGUAAACAAGAACCCAAGAAAUGGACCAAGGAGAAUCAAGAACCAGAAUGGACGGGAAGUCAGUCAGAGUGUAAAAGCUGUUAUACCAAAAGCAGAAGAAAAUGAGGGUGAUUUUCAUUUUCAUGUGGAGAAUGAUGUAAUUGGCCCAGACUCUGAUGAUGAUGACUCUACGAGAAGAGCUAAAUGUGCUAAAGGCUCAGACGAUGAUUCUCUUGAUGAGAAGGAAAGAGAUGAGUGCAACUUCAGUGCAAUUACAAUUGCUUCAGACAACGCCAUGCCCAUAAGGUACAAACUAUGCUCAUUGUCAUCACCCAUCAGCUUACAGGCAGGGGGUCCUCAACAACCACUCUGUUUCUGCAAACUGAAUGAUGGCAUACCUUGCCAUUCUAUGUUUGAGAGGGCAGUUGUAGAUGAUACUAGAAUAAGGUAUCAGGCAUUAUCCCAUGAUGAGAAGGACAUUGCCAUUCUAUCCAAGAUCGAAUAUGGAAUUCAUAUGAGUCAAGAAACUCAACGGCAAAAAAGACAGAACAGACCGUAAGCAAGGGAACAAGAAACGAUUAUUUUUUUCACGGUCAACAAAUCUGUUGUGACGUUUUUCAUUACAUUCAUAGCAUAGGAGAAAGCCAGAUGGAAAAACUGAUCAAACUGAUCAAAGUCGCCAGUGAAUGCUUUGUGUUUUUAAAAUACCUGGCGCAUAGUUGAUUUUAUCACCAGCCUUGCUGAUGUCCAUGACAUCAUAGACACGUGACUGUGUCUUGCACCUCCCCAAAGAAGACUGUGUAUGAAGCCUAUGAAAAGGCUGCACAAGAAUCAGAUGUUAGUGUGGCUACUGAGCUUACCAUCUGGCAUAUUACAGAACAUGGCGCUGUUUGUCUCAACAGUGAAGCCAACAUAAGACCUUUGCUUCAUUUGUCAGAAAGAUAAAGUAUAGAGGGAAGGAAUAAACUUUAAUUUCUAUGUGUCAUGAAGAGAUGAUUUAUUUAUUUAUUUUCCAAGCAUGAUGUGUGUUGUGAGUAUUUAAUUCUUUUUUCUUUUUAAUUAAAACAAAAAAAAAAUCAGCCUUUGCCAUAGGUUUUAUGAUUUAACUAGAAAUAGGC